rnacentral:tRNA from 1 species
CGCGGAGUGGAGCAGUCUGGACAGCUCAUCUGGCUCAUAACCAGAAGGUCGGGGGUUCAAAUCCCUCCUCCGCAACCA